UACGAAGGGGCUAGCGUUGCUCGGAAUCACUGGGCGUAAAGCGCACGUAGGCGGACUCUUAAGUCGGUGGUGAAAUCCUGGAGCUCAACUCCAGAACUGCCUUCGAUACUGAGAGUCUCGAGUCCGAGAGAGGUGAGUGGAACGUGCGAGUGUAGAGGUGAAAUUCGUAGAUAUUCGCAAGAACACCAGUGGCGGAAGGCGGCUCACUGGCCCGGUACUGACGCUGAGGUGCGAAAG
rnacentral:rRNA from 1 species